CCUUUAACAGUUUUUAGUUAAUGAAGGACUCAGGAGGAGGGUGUCUGUGGAAGGGAGGAGGGAGGAAGCAUGGAGAGAGAAUGGAGACUGGAGAGAAGAGUUCCUGGCUUCUGUUGUGGCGUCUUUUCUAUUUGACUUCAUGGCUGUAAGUAUUUCCAGAUGGUGAAUCAGACACCAGACGUAACAAUAUUUCCAUAUUUGGUAUAGCAGUAGCCUGCAUUUUUAACAUUUUUCUGCCUCUGUUAUCCAACCACAAAGCAUUCUCGACAGCUUUAAAUGUUGUUAAAUAUAGACUUCACUUCUGUUCCCAGGGCAGGAAAUUCUUCGGAAUUCCUUGUUUUUCACGCAAUCAUGCUUUAAAAGAAAAUAACAGUGGAGGAUCCAAUUGGCUGUAUAUAACCUAUUCGUUUAUUGGUGAUGGAGGGGGAGGGGAGGGGAAAGAAGCCUGAUCUGCUACACCACCGCAUUUUUUAAGAAAUACCAUACCAGGGAUUCUUUGAAAAAUCGGAUUAAAGUUUUUGACACUGGGUGUGUGGGCUUGUUUCUUUAGUUCUCUUCAGGAUGGAGGAGGACCAGAGUCUGCCUGAGAGGAGAAAUUUAUAAACCCCUCCAGCCAGUGGCCCAAGAAGAAGCAUGAAGGGUGGAGUAGAGAAGGGGAACGAAGGCGGGGUGGGGGAGGGGAGUAGGGGGAAGAGAAGAGCAGCGAGGAAAAAAAUGAAGGGGUGGGGGCAGCUAGUGGGGUGUCUGCUAUUAACCUGUGUGCAUAGUAUUACCAUACAGUAUGUCCUGUGUGCAACUGUGAAUAAAGGACAGGCUUUUAGGAGCGAGGAAAAGCCGCAGUUCCACACGUUCCUCUCUGAAGGAUGGUCCAGAAACCCCAGACGUCUCGUCGCCUUCUCGUUUCCACCUCUGAGAGAACCAGAGAAGAUCAUUUCAUGUUGACGGACUGGGGGGAAAUGUGCAAAUGUUUAUGGAUGGAGAAGUCAAGGUCCUGGAAGGAGCAAUGACUUGCCCAUGAUCAUGAAAGAAGUUAAGUGAGAAUGCUGAGAUAUGAUCCCUGGUAUUCUAUUGUCAAAAGAUGGUGUUCCUGCCAUUAUCCUGUAUGUAACAAGAAUACAUAUAAGCCAAAGUGAACAUGGACUGGUUUUAUAAUAAGAAUAAGGAAUAACGGAUGGACGAGUUCUGUGCUGGUAUCCUUGAAGAUCCAGACAAUUACCUCAAGCAAAUUGCAUUGAUUUUAUGGAGAACUUACUGAGUGAGGACUGUUAACAAGAAUCAUACAGAAUGAGAUAUGAGUGACUCAUCUAGAAUCAAACAAUCAAUUUGUGUCAGAGGCAGGUUUUGAACUCGGAUCUUCCUGUCCUUGCUUGUAUUGGGGUGAGGUGGGGUAAAGUGUUGCAGUCAGAACAAGGAAGCUCAUACUUAUGCUGAUUACAUGUCUUACGGAUAAAUUCUGGUUUUGAGUGAUUAUACUUUGAUAUCUUCUCUUGAUACUUUAAUGGAUUCAUCAUAUUGGCCCUGAUUUUGGUUCCAAUGAUAGGCACCCCUGCCCAUUCAAACUUCCAUAGAGGGUCUAGGCAAAAAUCUGGUGACAUUCCCCUAGAUCUCUUGAUAUGACCUGGAUUCCAGGAUUGCUGUAGACAUGGUCCUUGGUUCUCAUGUGGCAGAUUCAUCUUUUUUUUCUCCUGGUCAUAUAUUUCUCUAAUAAUAUCCUUUAUAUCGUUGUACCUCAGCAAUUUAUAAUGCGUCACAGUCUGUUCAUGCUCACUAUACACUUAUCUGUUGUCCUUGGGGCAAGCUUCCACUUAAAUUUUUGAGGGACAUCAUGUCUGAUGUUCUAACAGCACAUUACCAGAAGAAUAUCUUUAUUUAAAAAUUGCCUUUCUUUCAAGAAGAAACUGAUAUCAUUAAAAGCACUGCACAAAUUUCUAAAGGUUAAUUUCAAAAAGGGCAACUAGAUGGCACAGUGAAUAGAGCACCCAGAGUGGAGUCAGGAAGACCUCCAGGAGUUCAAAUGUAGCCUCAGACACCUACUAGCUACGUGACCAUGAACAAGAUUUUUUUCACUGUUUGCUUCAGUUUCCUCAUCUGUAAAAUGAGUUGGAGAAGGAAAUGGCAAACAGCUCAAGUAUCUUUGCCAAGAAAACCUGAAAUAGGGUUGUAAAGAGUUAGACAUGAUUAAAGCGAUGAACAAUGACAAGAAUAAUUUCUUUUUUAUCUAAUUUUUUUUGCAAAUUUGCAUAUUUGCAAAACAUGCUUCCAUAUUGUUCCUUAUGGAAAGAGUACACUCAUACAAAACCAAAACCCCCAAAUUAAACCAUAAAUACACUAAUGUGAGAGAUAGUAUGCUUUGAUCCCUGUCAAUCCAACUCCAAUAGUUCUUUCUCUGGAGGCGGAUAGCAUUCCCCAUCUUAAGUCUUCCAGGGUUGUCCCAGAUCAUCGCAUUGCUGAGAGUGGCCAAGUUUUCACAGUUGAUCCUCAUACAAUAUUGCUGUUAAGGUGCAUGGUGUUCUCCUGCUUCUGCUUAUUUCACUCAGCAUCAGUUCCUGUAGCUCUUUUCAGCUUUUUCUGAAAUCAUCUUGCUUGAUCAUUCCUUAUAUCACAAUAGUAUUCCAUCACCAAAAUGUACCACAAUUUGUUCAGCCAUUCCCCAACUGAUAAACGUUCCUUCAAUUUACAAUUCUUUUUCACUACAAAAAGAGCUUCUAUAAAUAUUUUUGUACAAGUAAGUCCUUUUUCUCUUUUUCAUAAUCUCUUUGGGAUUAAGACUCUGUAGUGUAUCAGAGGGUAUGAACAGUAUUAUAGCCCUCUGGAUAGAGUCGUUCCAAAUUGCCCUCCAGACUGGUUGGAUCAGUUUACAACUCCAUCAACAAUGAAUCAGUGUUGUAAUUUUGCCACAUCCUCUUGAAUAUUUAUCACUUUCUUUUACUAUCAUAUUGGCCAAUCUUAUGGGUGUGAAGUGGUACCUCAGAGCUGUCUUAAUUUGUAUUUCUCUAAUCAAGAGUGUUUUAGAACAUUUUUUCAUAUGGUUGAUGAUGCCUUUCAUUUCUUCAUCUGAAAACUGCUUAUUCAUAUGUUUUGACUAUUUGUCAACUGGGGAAUGGCUUGUAUUCCUGUAAAUUUGACUUGGUUCUCUAUAAAUUUGAGAAAUUAGACAUUUAUCAGAGACUUUUGUUAUAAAUUUCCCCCCCCCCCAGUUUGUUGUUUCCCUUCUACUCUUGGUUGCGUUAGUUUGGUUUGUACAAAAGCUCUUAAACUUAAUAUAGUCAAAAUGAAAUAUUUUGCAUCUCUCUACCUCUUUGUUCAUAAAUACUUCCCUCUUCCAUAGACCUGCCAGGUAAACUAUUCUGUGUUCCCCUAAUUUGCUUAUUGUAUCAUAUUUUAUAUCUAAAGCAUAUAUCCAUUUGGAUCUUAUUUUGGUAUAGAGUAUAAGAUAUUAGUCCAUAUCUAAUUUAUGCCAUACUGUUUUCCAAUUUUCCUAGCAGUUUUUGUUAAACAAUGUGUUCUUAUUCCUAAAGCUGGCUUCCUUGGGUUUAUCAAACACUAGGUCAGUAAGGUCAUUUACUCCAGUAUAUUGUAUAUCUAAUCUACCAUUCUAUUUUUUAGCCAAUACCAAACUGUUCUAUGAUUACUAUUUUACCAUACAAUUUGAGAUCUGGUACAACUAGUUCCUCUUUCACAUUUUUUUUUUAAUUUAGUGCCCUUGUUAUUGGUGACAUUUUGUUCUUCCAGAUGAAUUUUGUUAUUAUUUUUCUAGUUCUAUAAAAUAAUUAUUUGGUAGUUUGAUUGUUAUGGCACUGAAAAAGUAAAUUAAUUUAGGUCAAAUUAUCAUUUUUAUAUUAGCUCUGCUUACCCAUGAGUAAUUAACAUUUUUCUAAUUGUAUAAAUCUGACUUUAUUUGUGUGAAAAAUGUUCAUAUAAUUCCUAGGAUUGUCUUGGAAAGUACAUUCCCAAGUAGUUUAUAUUGUCUGGAGUUUGUUUUUAUUGGAAUUUCCCUUUCUAUCUCUUGCUCUUGAAGUUCCUUGGGAUUAGAUGAUGAUGAUUCAUAUGGAUUUUUUGUAUCCUGCAACUUUACAAAAAUUAUUAAUUAUUUCAGUAUAGCUUUUAAUUAAUUCUCUAGAAGACAACACUUUCUAAAGGUACUUUGGUAUAAUAUAUAGAGAUCCAGUCUUAGGAGAAGAAAGACGUGGGUUUUCAUCCUGCUCUGACCCUGUGUGUUGACCUGGGAAAGUCAUUUGACUUAGAAGUAUUCUAGGCAACAUUCUAAGACUAAAAAUUGCAGGAAAGAUGCUAGCCUAUAUUGGUAUGAGGAGUUUCUUCAUCUGGAAGUUCUCUAUACCAAUGAAACUACAAGUCUUCUGCUGAUCCCUAAUCCACCCCAACUCUUGUCCUCCUAUUCAAUUCUCUUCCUCCAUUAAAGGUUUUUUUUUUUUC